UUUACGUAGAAAAAGAGGGAUUGCUGUUUGCUGAACGCAUUAGACAGCAUUUAUAGUAGAGUUAUCGAGAAAAUUAGUAGAUUAAUAGGGAUUAUGGAAUGUAUCAUGAAAUUUAGUGGUUCGAGGUGGGACUUCAAAAAUUAAUGAGGGAUAAAUAGUAGGAAAACCUAUAAUUUUACCAGUGCACUAUAGUGUGGAGAUUUGACAGGAAUGAAAUAUUGUUCAACUGCCUACGGUCAGCCAGGUUUUUGAGGCUCAGUCAG